rnacentral:misc_RNA from 1 species
UCAUCACCAGGAUCUUUCUCCGAUCAAGGAACGAACGAUGCCAUUUUGUCUCACUCUCCACUGUAGCCGCUUCACUGCAAGGAACCAGGCUCAUCUUUGUCCUAUUGCUCACGUGCGUNNNNNNNNNNNUUAAGUCACGUGCCACCAUCGCCGGCAAGUCAGACAUGGCGGCCUCCACUGUUCGCGUCGCUGCAGCUCAGAUGACCUCAGUCAAUGACCUCGCCGCCAAUUUCGCCACCUGCUCUCGUCUUGCCAAAGAAGCAGCAGCAGCUGGGGCAAAAUUGCUUUGUUUACCAGAAAGUUUCUCUUUUAUUGGGGCUAAGGAUGGGGAUAGUGUUAAGGUUGCAGAACCUUUGGAUGGUCCAAUCAUGCAACAAUAUUGCUCCUUAGCAAGAGUCUCUGGCAUUUGGUUGUCACUUGGAGGCUUCCAAGAAAAAGGAUGUGAUGAUGAGCACCUGCGCAACACGCAUGUUAUCGUUGAUGACAGUGGGAGCAUUAGGGACACUUAUCGGAAAAUAUUCUUGUUUGA